rnacentral:rRNA from 1 species
GCCCAAGAGAUCGGGAUAACACCUGGAAACAGAUGCUAAUACCGGAUAANAACAGAUGAUGCCUAUCAACUGUUUAAAAGAUGGUUCUGCUAUCACUCUUGGAUGGACCUGCGGUGCAUUAGCUAGUUGGUAGGGUAACGGCCUACCAAGGCGAUGAUGCAUAGCCGAGUUGAGAGACUGAUCGGCCACAUUGGGACUGAGACACGGCCCAAACUCCUACGGGAGGCAGCAGCG